AGAGUUUGAUCAUGGCUCAGAUUGAACGCUGGCGGCAGGCCUAACACAUGCAAGUCGAACGGUAACAGGAAGCAGCUUGCUGCUUUGCUGACGAGUGGCGGACGGGUGAGUAAUGUCUGGGAAACUGCCUGAUGGAGGGGGAUAACUACUGGAAACGGUAGCUAAUACCGCAUAACGUCGCAAGACCAAAGAGGGGGACCUUCGGGCCUCUUGCCAUCGGAUGUGC
rnacentral:rRNA from 1 species